rnacentral:rRNA from 1 species
CCCUUAGAUGUUCUGGGCUGCACGCGCGCUACACUGGUGCGUUCAGCGAGUUUAGCACCUUAACAGAUAUGUUUGGGUAAUCUUCUGAAAACGCACCGUGAUGGGGAUCGAUUAUUGUAAUUAUUAAUCGUCAACGAGGAAUUCCUAGUAAGUGUGAAUCAUCAGUUCGCGCUGAUUACGUCCCUGCCCUUUGUACACACCGCCCGUCGCACCUACCGAUUGAAUGUUUCGGUGAAGAUUCCGGAUAGGACUUUUUUGAUUUAUUUCAAUUUUGUCUUAAAAGCUAUCUAAACCUCAACAUUUAGAGGAAGGUGAAGUCGUAACA